CUUACAUGCCAAAGCAGUGGAUAUAGACUGCUUAUUCUUCCAUAAUCUCAACAUUUCAGCUUCCACCUCAUCCCACAUUUUAGCACAUCCUGCUGAAGUACUAAGCUCAUAAACACCAUCACUGCCAGCCAUUCCAACUCCAGUACUGUUGUCUGUCUCACUGAUAGAGGGUACCUUAGACCAAUCCCAACCAUACCCUAAUAUUCCAUUUA